rnacentral:rRNA from 1 species
AGUGAACGCUGGCGGUAGGCCUAACACAUGCAAGUCGAACGGCAGCACAGUAAGAGCUUGCUCUUACGGGUGGCGAGUGGCGGACGGGUGAGGAAUACAUCGGAAUCUACUUUUUCGUGGGGGAUAACGUAGGGAAACUUACGCUAAUACCGCAUACGACCUACGGGUGAAAGCAGGGGAUCUUCGGACCUUGCGCGAUUGAAUGAGCCGAUGUCGGAUUAGCUAGUUGGCGGGGUAAAGGCCCACCAAGGCGACGAUCCGUAGCUGGUCUGAGAGGAUGAUCAGCCACACUGGAACUGAGACACGGUCCAGACUCCUACGGGAGGCAGCAGUGGGGAAUAUUGGACAAUGGGCGCAAGCCUGAUCCAGCCAUACCGCGUGGGUGAAGAAGGCCUUCGGGUUGCAAAGCCCUUUUGUUGGGAAAGAAAAGCAGCAGGUUAAUACCCCGCUGUUCUGACGGUACCCAAAGAAUAAGCACCGGCUAACUUCAUG